ACGUCGUUUCCGUAGCAACCGUGUACGCGUCCUCUGUGGAGCGGCUCGGCUGCAGCUGCGGGUGAGGUGGAUAUCGUGGGCUGUGCCGCAGGAACGUAGGGCCCGGGAGGCCUGGGACGCAGCCAGGAGAAAAAAUGUCAGUCCUCACUUCUCCCAGAGGGAAGGUAGAAGUGGUUCAUUGCCGAAGAACAGAAUCCCAGGAUAUCUUUUGUAUCAAAAGCCUCAUUAGAAAAUUUACUCAGAAGCUCUUUGGGAGGAUAAAUAUCAUCUAUCUUCUAGAAAAGGCAAACCUUGCUGUUACCCUCUGUAAUGACAAGGAGGAGAUCAUGGCCCAUGGCAUCUUCUUAGACUACCCCAACUGGAAUGUUGCCAAGCAGGACAACUGGGUGUCCGUGUUCGAGGAGCUUGACAAUGAAAUCCCGUGCACAGUAAGAAAAACACACAGCAUGUUUAUUGGAACAACCCGACUGGGAGGGAGGGCCUGGUGUCAGACCAGCAUCAUCUUAGUUUCUGGGUCGAGACAUCCAACCGUCAUGCAUACCAUAGCAACAUCAUAAGAUGUUAAAAACAAAACGAUAGGAUGUUAGAGCCAAGGGGGGUCUAGAGUGCAUGGGAUGGGUACCUGGUAGCCCCAUCAGCCAGCUGCCCCCAAGGCCUACCUUGUGCUUUUAAAAUAACAAGAUCUGGAAAUAAAGAAUUGGUGUGCCUACUAUGUAUAUCUAGAUACCUUACGGAUGUCUGUGUGUCCUUUGUGAGGUCUGUGAUAUCCUAGGAAGGCUGUCACCUAGAAGUUGCCCUAGGAAUGACAACAGAGCUUAAGACUUAGUCAGACUGCAUAACGUUUAAAAUGCCCCCGUGGAGGGUGGAGCCUUUGAUGUCAGGUAGCCAUUAUGGAUUUGACAUUAGCUAGUCUGCAUUGAAAUGUGCUGCAAAUAUAAAACAUAUACUAGAUUUGAAGUGCUUAGUAGGGAAAACUGUGUAAAGUAUGCCAUGUUUUUUUUUAUAUAUUAAUAAUCCAGGUAAUAGUUGAAAGGCUGAAGCAGUAGGAUUGCUUUGAGUUCAAGUUAGUUGGUGUUAUGU